rnacentral:misc_RNA from 1 species
GAUGAGAACGCAGCGAAAUGCGAUAAGUAAUGUGAAUUGCAGAAUUCAGUGAAUCAUCGAAUCUUUGAACGCACAUUGCGCCCCUUGGUAUUCCGGGGGGCAUGCCUGUUCGAGCGUCAUUAUAACCCCUCAAGCUCAGCUUGGUGUUGGGGCCUGCCGACUGGCAGCCCUUAAAAUCAGUGGCGGCGCCAUCUGGCUCUAAGCGUAGUAAUUUCUCUCGCUAUAGAGUCCCGGUGGAUGCUUGCCAGCAACCCCCAACUUUCUAUGGUUGACCUCGGAUCAGGUAGGGAUACCCGCUGAACUUAAGCAUAUCAAUAAGCGGAGGA